rnacentral:rRNA from 1 species
CCUACGGGAGGCAGCAGUGAGGAAUAUUGGUCAAUGGGCGCGAGCCUGAACCAGCCAAGUAGCGUGAAGGAUGACUGCCCUACGGGUUGUAAACUUCUUUUAUAAAGGAAUAAAGUGAGGCAAGUGUGCCUUUUUGUAUGUACUUUAUGAAUAAGGAUCGGACAACACCGUGCCAGCAGCCGCGGUAAUACGGAGGAUCCGAGCGUUAUCCGGAUUUAUUGGGUUUAAAGGGAGCGUAGAUGGGUUGUUAAGUCAGUUGUGAAAGUUUGCGGCUCAACCGUAAAAGUGCAAUGGAUACUGGCAGCCGUGAGUACAGUUGAGGUAGGCGGAAUUCGUGGUGUAGCGGUGAAAUGCUUAGAUAUCACGAAGAACUCCGAUUGCGAAGGCAGCUUACUAAACUGCCACUGACAUUGAUGCUCGAAAGUGUGGGUAUCAAACAGGAUUAGAUACCCCAGUAGUG